rnacentral:rRNA from 1 species
UACGAGGGGUGCAAACGUUAUUCGGAUUUACUGGGCGUAAAGGGUGCGUAGACGGUAUAAUAAGUUCGUUGUUUAAUCUUCCGGCCUAACUGGAAGCUUGCGGUGAAAACUAUUAUGCUAGAGGAUGGAAGAGAGAAGUGGAAUUCUUGGAGUAGCGGUAAAAUGCGUAGAUCUCAAGAGGAACACCGAUGGCGAAGGCAGCUUCUUGGUCCAUUCCUGACGUUGAUGCACGAAAGCGUGGGGAGCAAACAGG